GACGAACGCUGGCGGCGUGCUUAACACAUGCAAGUCGAACGGAAAGGCCUUUUCGGAGGUACUCGAGUGGCGCACGGGUGAGUAACACGUGGGUGAUCUGCCCUGCACUCUGGGAUAAGCCUGGGAAACUGGGUCUAAUACCGGAUAGGACCGCACUUUAGUGUGUGUGGUGGAAAGUUUUUUCGGUGUAGGAUGAGCCCGCGGCCUAUCAGCUUGUUGGUGGGGUAAUGGCCUACCAAGGCGGCGACGGGUAGCCGGACUGAGAGGUUGGUCGGCCACAUUGGGACUGGGAUACGGCCCAGACUCCUACGGGAGGCAGCAGUGGGGAAGAUUGCACAAUGGGCGCAAGCCUGAUGCAGCGACGCCGCGUGGGGGAUGACGGCCUUCGGGUUGUAAACUCCUUUCGCCAGGGACGAAGCGUUUUGUGACGGUACCUGGAGAAGAAGCACCGGCUAACUACGUG
rnacentral:rRNA from 1 species